rnacentral:lncRNA from 1 species
GGAAUAUGCUGUGCUGUUAUUUGUAGAAUAUUUAAAGGAUGGGAUGGAAUUAGAGGAAGCGCAGAAAACUGAUAAGGGAAUUAAGCUCUUGGCUCCAGUGACUCACUGGGCUUUUGUGUGACUAAAUCAUUGUUCUUUCGCAUGUGACCCCAAUCUCUCACUCUCAAGGGCUGUCAGUGGAGGCCUAUUUCCCCUCCCUCCUGUUCCCUCCUGUUCCCUCCUGUUCCCUCCUGCUCCCUCCUGCUCCCUUCUGCUCACUAACCCGCCUCUUACCCUGUACUCCGUGGAGUGUCUCUUACUGGCUGAAGUGAGACAUCAGAGAGAGCACUCAGUUGUCCCACGCUUCUCCAGACCCAGUUUCUUGAGUCUCAGAGGCUCCUGCAAUGACAGCAUGAUGGUUCUGAGCCCGGGAUUUGGAGAGAGACACGGCCUGGUUUGGAUUUGGGCUUUAGACAAGUGACAACCUCUGUGAAUCUCAAUUCCUUAUUUGAGGACUAAACAAUGAAAUGAGCAAAAUCAAAGAAAGCACUUAGCACCGUUCCUAUACUUAAUAUAGUAUUUUUUAAAAAGUCUUGUUGCAUCAUUUUUUUGUGGCUGAGUCCCAGUGAGCUCAGGAUUCCAGAUUCCAAGUUCAGCUCCAUGUUCAACUACCUCAGGGGGUCGGAAUCUGAGUUUUGGCAAAACGGAGGGCUGAUAAGAUCUCACAUGCCUUUUAAAGGUAUUUUGAAGAUUCACUAGUACUGUCAAAUCAUGUAAAACCCAAGGAUGAAAAGACUGUACCGAAGUAUAAGGCAUUAGCAUAAAGAUGUGCACUGCAUCUUGCCAUAUUUAUCGGGGAAGUUUGUUGCUAUUGGCAACCUUGACUUCAAGGUAAGAAAUCCUUGAGCAACUGCUGAAAUUAAAAGAGGCAUUUUUGUUUGGGCUGUACUCGCAAAUUGAUUUGGAAGAAGAAAAUAACUCCAAAAGAGUGACACUUAAGCUUGUGAGGAUGGUGGUGUUCCGUAAUGGGAUUUGGGUGGAAGUUCUUAAAGGGAGUCAUCCAGUAGACACUGCAACUCUCAAGCAAUUUAUGGUUAAGUGUACCUGGAACCUGGUUGCCCUCACUUACAUUCUAAAUGGGAAUUGUUUUCAGCAUGGUUGACUCAAAAAGGAAAAACUAGCUCGUAACACAGACCCAGGCCUGGCCUCUCUGGAAAUUCGUUGCACCCUGUGGCUGCCAACGUUUAUCCAACAGUAAAGAACAAAAUUAGAGUCACAGACCCAGCAAUAGCACUACUAAGAAUUUAUCCAAGGGAUACAGGAGUGCUGAUGCAUAGGGGCACAUGCACCCCACUGUUUAUAGCAGCGCUUUCAACAAUAGCCAAAUCAUGGAAAGAGCCCAAAUGUCCAUCAACUGAUGAAUGGAUAAAGAAGAUGUGGUUUAUAUAUACAAUGGAAUACUACUUGGCAAUGAUAAAGAAUGAAAUCCUGCCAUUUGCGGCAACAUGGAUGGAACUGGAGGGUAUUAUGCUGAGUGAAAUAAGUCAGUCAGAGAAGGACAGAUAUCAUAUGUUUUCACUCAUCUGUGGAACUUGAGAAGCUUAACAGAAGACCAUGGGAGAGGGAUGGGAAAAAUAGUUACAAAUAGAGAGGGAGGGAGGCAAACCAUAAGAGACUCUUAAAUACAGAGAACAAACUGAGGGUUGAUGGGGGGGGCGUGCAGGGAGAGGGGAAAUGGGUGAUGGGCACUGAGGAGGGCACUUGUUGGGAUGAGCACUGGGUGUUGUAUGUAAGCGAUGAAUCGUGGGAAUCCACCCCCAAAACCGAGAGCACACUGUAGACACUGUAUGUUAGCCAAAAAAACCUAAGAGUCACAGAAUCAUGGAACCCAAGGUUAUCAUGGGAAGGGGCUCAGCAUCCACCCCCAUGUCUUCAUGUUAUAGGAAAACAGGGUUUAACUGCCAGCCCUUGAAGCUUCCUGCUGUGAGCCAAGCCUUCUGCUCCAGCUGGCUGCUGGGGAGAGACAGGAGGCAGGAGAAUUGCCAGGCAGGCUGGUCAUGCCCUCACCUGUGCUGUCAGAAAAAAUGUAUCCCCUGAUGUUCUAUAAAGCAAUAGUUUUCAAACUUUGAUCGAACUCCCAGAACCUCUUUAGUACCAAACCAACGGCGACGGAACUGCUGUGUUUGGAGCAGCGGUAGGAACCCGGUCUUCAUUUUAGUGCCCAUGGCUGGCCCCUCUUUUAAUCAGUCCCUGAAUCCCAAGGAAUACAGUUGCCCAGAGGCCCCAGGUUAUCACAUGUGCGCCAGUGCAGGUUACUCUUAGGUUAAUUCUUGUCCAUCCCUUUUCUUCCCUCUGCAGGGUGAAGAAAGGAGGUAUGUACCAGGCCUAUUCUCUUUGUUUGUGGCUCUCACUAUUGUUGAUUUUUGCUUGCUCUGUUGUACUAAAUAAAAGGGUUCCAACCUGGCAGAGAAUCAGGGUGCAGUUCUGUCUUGGUGAGUUUUCAGCCACAUCAUCUGUGGGUGAAAGAAACAGAGGUCAGAAGUAGCUGCAGAAAGGGAAGGGCGGGGUGCAUGGUGCCAUCAGUGUGUCAGAUCUCUCCUGUCAUUUUAUUUUUUAUUUUUUAAAUUUUUAUGUAUUUUGAGAGAGAGAGAGAGCGAGCACGCAAGCAGGGGAGGAGCAGAGAGAGAGAGAGGGAGAGACAGAAUCCGAAGCAGGUUCUGUGCUGUCAGCUCAGACUCCAACACAGGGCUCCAUCUUGUGAACUGUAAGAUCAUGACCUGAGCCGAGACUAAGAGUCAGAUGCUUAACCGACCAAGACACCCAAGCAUCCCUCAGAUCUCUCAUUUUAGUCCUGCCUGUUCCCUACCCAGAGUUGCCUCCACUCAGCUGAACUUCAGCACCUAAAGGUCUGUUCCCCUCCAGCGGGACAGGAGUGAAUUGUCUGUGAGUUAAACACAGCGUCUACUGUGCUGCUGCACGUGGAUGCGUGUGGCUCCUCUUGAGGACAGCCGAUGCUCUGUAUUGGACAGAUGCCUCUUUUUCAAGAACAAAUGACACUUUAUGCUCAGACUGUAAUGGAUUUGGUCAUUUCCACAAGUUAUUUGGAUCAGGCUUGUCAGAAAGGGGGGCUGGGUGCAGUCGGAUGGGCAGGGAGAGCUGGGACUUUGGAUGAGUUGAGCGAGGUCCAUCUGGAUAACUCCAAGCCUGAGGGGAUGUCCGCACCCAGCCCCGAAAGUUGCUGCCUCAAGGGGAAUCCAGGCUAUGGGAAGAGACAGGACAGAGAACUGGAAAGUGUGUAUGUUGUUGUUGUUGUUUUAGAGAAAGAGGGAAAGGGGGGAGAGAAAGACUCUGAAGCAGGCUCAAUGCAGGGCUCGAUCCCACAACCCUGAGAUCAUGACCUGAGCUGAAAUCAAGAGUCGGAUGCUUAACCAACUGAGCCACCCAGGCACCCCAGGAAAGUGGAUUUUUAAAAAAAGAUUGCUUUAAUCACUCACCCCAUAGGCAGGCGCCUCUGACAAGCACAAGGCAUGUCUAAGCAGGGUUAGAAAUCUGAUUAUAAUGGUUAUUGAUCAUAUCAAAUGAAAUGAUUUUAAUGAGAUCUUCACAAACUGUCACCCACCACCCUAGCUACUUUUUUUUUAAAGGGCAUAGAGAAUGGAUGCAAAGAAUCCCCACAUUAUGGACAAAUGUAUCAACCAGAUCUUUCUGAUCUUUCAUUAAAAGGCUAAUUUCCCAGGUCCAGGAAUAGCAAUAAGUAGGAAAAGAGUAAAAUCGUUUUGAAAAUUCUGUGUAUUAUUAUUGUUGUGUGUGUGUGUGUGUGUGUGUGUGAGUGUGUAUUUUUCUGAGAAGGUAGAAAGCUGUCAAUAAACAUGUCUACAGAGAACUAGCUCCUUGUCAUGUCUGCAAUACUAAGUUCAAAGCCUGUUUAAGAGAAAUCCCAUUGUGGAGGUAGAAUUUUAAGGUCAAUUUAGUGUCCAAGAAGCUUCACUUCUGUCUGUUCUAUUCCCUGCAGAAAUGAAGAAUACAAAGAGAGGGGUUUUGGUGGUAAGUGUGCUGGCCAUGGGGCAACAGGCUUGGGUGAUGUGUGGUGGGGCACUCCUGUCCCCUCUCAGGCAGACCCUGCCACAGCCCCACGGGGGUGGGGUGGGGGGAGGUGGUAUUUAUCAUUCAGGGAGACGCUUGCACUUGGCCACUGGAACAGAUUGCUGUGUGACGAGCUCCUGAUAGAAUUUGUUCCCUCCACUGAACAUGUCUGCUGAUAUAUUUGCAGAAGAACUGGAUUUCAUAAAUAUGGAAUAGUGGUGUUUAUUAUCUACACCAGCUCUCUGGGAGACUGAGCUGGGGGAGAAGAGCUGAAGACCACAACUGGAACUUCAGCCUUCAGUGGGAUUUAUUUUUUCCUUGCUGUUCCACAACCUUGAGGAAAAGUGAUGGAGACAGAACAUUGCUUGGGCCAGGGGUCGGCUCUGCACACUUGUCUGUGUGAUCUUGCAGACUCCCGUGGCCUCUUUAAGCUUUAAAUUCCUCAUCUGUAAAAUGGGAGCAACACCUGCCCUGAGCUUGCAGGUGGGGAAAUAUUUUGAAAGUUGUUAGAGUCACAUAAAUGCAAAGUGAUACAAGAUAGUUGGAGAGUCUCCCCCCACCCUUACCUCCUUGUUUUUCUUUCUUUCUUUCUUUCUUUCUUUCUUUCUUUCUUUCUUUCUUUCUUUCUUUCUUUCCUUCCUUCCUUCCUUCCUUCCUUCCUUCCUUCCUUCCUUCCUUCUUUCUUUCUUUCUUUAUUACUAAAAUUUUUUUAAAUUUAUUUUUAAUUAAAAAGAUUUUUAAUGUUUAUUUUUGAGAGAGAGAGAGAGAGCGUGAACAGGGUAAGGGCAGAGACAGAGGGAGACUUGGAAUCCGAAGAGGGAGACAUGGAAUCUGUGCUGAGCUGUCAGCACAGAGCCCGAUGUGGGGCUUGAACCCAUGAACCGUGAGAUCAUAACCUGAGCUGAAGUUGGAUACUUAACCAACUGAGCCACACAGGCGCUCCUAUUUUUUUUUUUUUAAGAUUUUUAAUUUAUUUUGAGAGAGAGAGAGAGAGAGAGAGAGAGAGAAUAUUCCAAGCAGGCUCCACACCAGCAGUGCUGAACCCGAUGUGGGGCUCCAGCCCACAAACUGCAAGAUCAUGACCUGAGCUGAAAUCGAGAGUCGGAUGCUUAACCGACUGAGCCACCCAGGUGCCCCCCUCCUUGUUUUUCUUUACUAAACCUGAUCUGCCCACUGAGAAGUGACAGAACUUGAAGGUGACUCCCCAAGUCUCCCUCAGCCCCUGAUAAUAAGAUUUUGUUGUGAUCCCGGACCCAUACAUUUGGGGGAUGACAUGCAAAACGAAGAAGACAGUCCAGGGCACCAGAAUCUUUGCCUCAGGUCCAUCACCUAAGUGUUUACAUGUAUGGGCCUGUCUACGAGUGUGAGAAAGAGCUGAUCUCUUAUCUCCUUAGCCUCAUUGUCUAAGGCAAUACCCCUGGUGAUGCCACUCAGAGAGCACCUUAGAAAUAUGUAACAUUAAAUCAAUCAAUUAAAUAAGUAGUCCCCAUGACCAUAGAAGUGCAGCUGCUGAAUUGUUUGAAUGGAUAAAACCCAGAUGGUCUCCACUUCCUCUGUUUUUGGAGUGGAGUAGCCAUGGGCCAGUGUGCAGAUGAUGGCCUGUGUGAUGCAAACUGGUGCUGGAAAGGCCACGAGACUCUGAACACAGUCCUCAUCAGCGUGCUAAAGAAGGGGAUCACUGGAGGGCACCUUGGGAGGGAAGGGGGUGUUUCCGUGCCGACAGAGGUCAGGUCCUGGAGGGAGGCACAGAGAACAGGGGAAGAAAGAGAUAAGGAGCACAAGGCCUCGGUAAGGGGGGCACGCCCAGUGGCAACAUUGUAUCAGCCGAGGAAAGGGGUCGCAGUCAUAGCCCAACUCUGGGAGCACAUGAGUGCUCUCCUGUGCCCACCUUGCCCAUCUGCCUGACAGAUCCCGCUCAGCCAAAGUAGAUCUCAGCCAGGGUUGUAUGGCAUCUCUGCUCCACUUUCCAUGAAGCUGCAGCCUAUCAUUCACUCAGGGCAGGAUGAAUGUCCUCCCGCCCUCCUGGGCCCCCAGGGUGUGCCAUAUUCCCACUCAUGACCUUAUCACUCUAUAUCAUCCACCUGUUGUCAAUGGCGCCCACUGAUUGCAAGCGUUGUGCAGGCAGUAACCACACCCGUCGUGUUCCCUGCUGCAUCCUCGGCCUUUAGCACAGCGCCUAUCAAAUAGACUAGUGUCAAGAAGGCCCUGGGUAAGGUACGCGGGCUGUGAAGAUGAGUGGCCUGGCCCCAGGGGGAGGAGUGUAGGGUUGUGCUUGAAGCUGUCUCUUUCUUCUCCAUAGGAAACGAUCCAGAUGAACUCUGUCUUUGAUGGAGAAGCCAUCGACCCAGGUAAUUAACUGGCAAUGCCAUCCGAAAGGUGUUUUUCACAUUCCAGGUUGGUGGAGUCAUGGUGGACCCCAUCCAAUCUCCUGCCCUCAACUCAGUUGGUCCAUCAUUCGGUUAUGUCGCCUGACCUUUCCCGCUGCAACACAGCGUGAGAUCACCUCUGAGCAGAGCUGGCUGGCACACGCUCCAGCACAUGACCAUGUGUGAGGCCUCAGAGGAUUUCCACCUGACGCCUCCUGCCCUCUCUCGCCUCCCUUCCCAAAUCACAAACCAAUUCAGCGGACUGAAUUCUGCCUGCUCUUUGGAGCUCAACCACCUCCCCGGUCCUUUCUGAAUGCUCCUCACACCAUCCUAUUGGUAGUGAGAGAUAGGGAGAAAUGGCAGGCUUGGCUCCUUUUCCCCCUAGAUCAGGGCCAAGAAUUUCUUCUUGGUCGGCAAGAUGAACAUAAGGUAAAGCUGGCCUCCAGAGCUCCCGUCACCCCCAUGAAAUCAGCUCCAAAUUUAGCUCCUUUACACACAUCCCUCCACUUACAAAGGCUCAAUUAUAGAUGUGAAUAAAGGGAAGGAAACCAAACUCGGGAGGCAAGCGUGCUGGCUCCCUGCCACCCUCACAUGCGAGCGGCUCGGUCCUUCUUGGAAGGAUGGCUCCUCUCCAGGAGAGGCUGCUGCUGCUGCUGGAAUUAAAUUUCCCUCUAUUAUUAGGUACUUGUUACCAUAAUGUGCCCACAUUAGCAUAAGUGCUGGUGGGAUCCCCUGCCGAGAGGCCACUCUUGCCGCAGGGAAAUGGCAAGAGCCGGGGAUCGCCUGAAACUCCAGCUUCUGGGGCAAAAGCCAGGGAGGACCAAGGCUGUUACCUACAUUUGUGGGUUGACGGAAGAAAAAAAAAAAAGGCGGGGGCGGGGUGGGGGGGAUGAGCAAAUUGAACUAAUGUGAAUAAACACACCAAUUAGUGUCUGCCACGCUGACACAAUAAAAAUGGCUCCCUUGCACCAUCUCAACAGAGGCCAGACUCAGUGUCCGCAUCUACCAAUCUCUGCUAACCUAACAUAGAUAAAAAAGCCCUUUCCUCCUUAUGUGGUGACUUCCUUUCUCUAUCUGGGAUUCCGGGGGCUCUCAAAACAAACCCUUCAGAACAUGACGGGUAACCCCAUUAAAAACGGAACUGAAUUUAUCCAGAACUGACACGGAAUUCAAGAUUUAUGUGGCUUUCUAAUCUCACAACCGAGAGCCUGUCCUGAGCCUCCUCACCCAGGGAGGCAUGAUAUUUGCUACCUGUGGGGUUGGAGCCCUGUAGCUCGUGGAAAGGGCGGGCUGGCAAAGUUUGUGCCCUGAUUCACACCUCCUAGUGCCUUUCAGCUUUCCCUCGGGGUAAGAACUGAGCGGGCUGGAGAUGGAGGAAGAGAGCAUCCUGAAUUCCCUCGUUUAUAUGGUGGUUGCGUAUUUUUUUCCCUCUAGUUACUGGGGCAGUAUAUGAAUUCAACUCAAAAACUGGAACCAGAAAGUGGAAAGAUCCCUCAACCCAAAUGCCAAGAUGGCAAGAGCCCAGCCCCCACGGAGCUGCUCCAAGUAGACCUGUCGCAGGGGAAGGGGCCGGGCCACCCGGGAGCACUGGCGAGCAAGAUGGGCUGAGUGGCAAAGCACAGGUUGAGGAUGCAAGCCCCAGUUCCAGAAACCAGGAUGGCAAGCUCGGCACCCCCAAGAGCAGAAACACAGCCCUCAUGAGCAGGGCUUCCCCCAAACUGCACCCAGGAAAGUAAUGGGUACCUGGUUGUGGGGCCCACAGUGCAGCACAGCGAAGGGACCUUGAUGGCCCUGGGAUGCUGCUUCUCCCUAAAUUCCAUAAGGGCAGGUGUGGGAGUGCCUUAGGGGUGAAAACAUGGUCUGAAGGGACUGGGAGAUCCAGGGUCCCAAAUGGAAUGUUUAAAACAGAGAGGGGCGGGGCGCCCGGGUGGCUCAGUCGGUUAAGCACCCGACUUCGGCUCAGGUCACGAUCUCACAGUUCAUGGGUUUGAGCCCCACGUCGAGCUCUGUGCUGACAGCUCAGAGCCUGGAGCCUGCUUCUGAUUCUGUGUCUCCUUCUCUCUUUGCCCACCCCCAGUCACACUCCGUCUCUCUGUCUCAAAAAUAAAUAAACAUUAAAAAAAUUUUUAAACAGACAGGGGCUUGAUUAUCUAGUUGCCUGUUUCUGAGACAGCACAGGUGAAAUUUCUCUCGGGUCUCUGUCCUCUGAUCAGAUGAACCGUUUUAGCUAUUGGAGGAGGAACCGUGUUUCUUCUUCGUGGUGACUACUGGGAAGCUUCAUUCGGUUCACCCCCUAGGAAGUGCUUAGGACUUCCGACAUGAAUGCUGAGGGCUCCCCUCACACCUGGUUUCAUCUCGAUUACCUGCCCUUUGUGUAGUAUCACUCAGAUUGCCUCCCUGAUAAAUACACUCAAAGCCACACGCCUUUAUAGUCACCUCCGAUCUUUUUUGAAAGAAGCAGGCCAGAGGGAAAAAAAAAUGGAUGAAUAUAUAAUGAGUUAUUCAUCCAGGAAGAAGAACACACAACGCACACCUUUUUUUAUUCUUCUUUUUUUAUGGAGGUGUAACUUAUAUUCAAUAAAGUGCACAGAUCUAAGGUAUUCCACUCAUAAUAGUCUCCCCUCAGAGAUAACCGCUAUUCUG